GUGAUGAAGGAGUGGUGAGGAGGGUUCCUAUUUAUAAAAAAAGAGAACAGUUGGAUUUUCACCAAGUGGCACAAAUCCAGGAAGAAACGAGAGGAAAAAAGUAGACUGAUACGACGUGACGACUGGCAGACGUGAUUGAUGGAUGGUCAAUGAGACGACGGCAUAAAAAUCGUAGGCACACUGGCCGAGGAACAACACAUGCCUCUCGAAUGGCGGCAACCUGCCGGUCGAACGGUGGCGCGCGUAAACUGCGCACCACGUACCUUGUGCAAAUGGGAUGUGCACGCAAGCACACGUUCGACUGGACGCAUGCACCCAUGUUC
rnacentral:lncRNA from 1 species